AUGAGGUUCGCGGGAUGGUACCUGAAGAUCGCCGCCGGCGGUGCGGCCAUAGGCGCCUCCAUGGAGCUCUUCAUGAUCCACACGGGCUUCUGUGCGUCCCUCCCUUCUCCUUUCACCAUCUAGCUGGUUGUAUAAUUUUUAGGAUGAAAAGGUAACGGUACUGGAGUCGGAGAAAAGAGCCUGGGAAAGCAGUCCAGAGGCCCAAGCUAUGAGAGAAGCCUUGAAUCCAUGGCACAAGCGUGACGAACAAGAGAAAAGAUAGGCACUGAUAGACUCAUCCUUCCACUGUCAAGUAAUUGCAACCCCCAUCUUUCAGUUGUAUCGUAGUUCCUCGAAUGAGGUUAUAUGUGAAUGUGGAAUUUUUUUGCAGUUAUUGAAACAUUUUAGCGUAUCUCCCUGAAAUUGUUGUGGAUGCUAGCUUUCAGCAAUGUUCUGAAAGAGUAUGCCCAUAUCCGAAAUAAGUGUCCUUUUUGCUUUGAUUGUUUUUGUGUUUCGACAUAUGUGUGUGCAUAUUGGACGUCACUCGCUACCUGCUCUGUUAUGGAAAUAUAACAACGAAAUUAUACGCA